GAUGAACGCUGGCGGCGUGCCUAAUACAUGCAAGUCGAGCGAACGGACGAGAAGCUUGCUUCUCUGAUGUUAGCGGCGGACGGGUGAGUAACACGUGGAUAACCUACCUAUAAGACUGGGAUAACUUCGGGAAACCGGAGCUAACACCGGAUAAUAUUUUGAACCGCAUGGUUCAAAAGUGAAAGACGGUCUUGCUGUCACUUAUAGAUGGAUCCGCGCUGCAUUAGCUAGUUGGUAAGGUAACGGCUUACCAAGGCAACGAUGCAUAGCCGACCUGAGAGGAUGAUCGGCCACACUGGAACUGAGACACGGUCCAGACUCCUACGGGAGGCAGCAGUGGGGAAUCUUCGGCAAUGGGCGAAAGCCUGACGGAGCAACGCCGCGUGAGUGAUGAAGGUCUUCGGAUCGUAAAACUCUGUUAUUAGGGAAGAACAUAUGUGUAAGUAACUGUGCACAUCUUGACGGUACCUAAUCAGAAAGCCACGGCUAACUACGUG
rnacentral:rRNA from 1 species